GUCAUUAGCAGAGGAAAUGCAAGCAAUCAUCAGGGGAUUAGAAAAGGUUAAAGAGGAGCUGACUGCAUCAGAAAACGAUGGCCCAGUGACUGAAGUUUUUCGUAAGGCAAUUAUCUCUGGAUGUUCUGUGCUGGAGAGUUGGCUGCAAUUUUAAAUUGUGAUCGAUUCAAAUCACUACUACCUAGAACAACUAAAGUGAAAUGCCUUGCAGAUGCUGGUUAUUUUAUCAAUGUGUGGACAAGCUUAAAGGGGAACUAGAAACACAAAACAAGUAGAAAGGGAACACGGAAACUCGAGUGUUUGUUAGAGAAAAAAGUUAAUGACUUGAACUCAAAAUUAGAAGAUGUAAGUUUUACGUUUACCAACAAUUCUGUUUUAACUAAUGUGCCUUAAGUGCAUCUCAUUAUUGUUUUAACUAAUGUGCCUUAAGUGCAUCUCAUUAUUGUUUUAACUAAUGCGCCUUAAGUGUAUUACUCCAGCAUCAUCAUCAGCUGCUAAUAAUAUCUACUCCUGUUGGCUUUAGGUUGAUCCUACUCUCAUUUUAGAUCUAAGAGAAUUACUAUUGAGCUCUAUUACUUCCAAAAAACAAAUUAAAAACCAUUAUGUCAUUAUUUUUCACUAGUUACCAGCAGUAAUUGAUUUUCAAGUUAUUCAAAUAUAUUAUGUCUA